rnacentral:rRNA from 1 species
UACGUAGGGUGCGAGCGUUGUCCGGAAUUACUGGGCGUAAAGAGCUCGUAGGUGGUUUGUCGCGUUGUUCGUGAAAACUCACAACUCAAUUGUGGGCGUGCGGGCGAUACGGGCAGACUGGAGUACUGCAGGGGAGACUGGAAUUCCUGGUGUAGCGGUGGAAUGCGCAGAUAUCAGGAGGAACACCGGUGGCGAAGGCGGGUCUCUGGGCCGAUACUGACGCUGAGGAGCGAAAGUGUGGGGAGCGAACAGG